GUCCAGUUUAAGGAAGAUCUACUGUACUUUGUAGGUGAUCUCUCCAGGUACCAAAUGACAUGAUGAGGGGAGAUGGCAUGCCCUGGAGCUCCCCAGAGAGCAACUGUACCAUCAUGGAGUCCUUUGAGGAAGCUCACCUGCUCUGUCCAGGAGAAGUAAAUUAUAGGAGUGAAGCCACCGGAGGAAGUAGAGAAAACACAAUAUAACCAACAACUAAGCAGGGAUGACUCAAAAGCAGCUGCUUCACUGGAAAGCUCGCCCCAGCACUGGUCAAAGCACUGGUAUAAGGAUAUUCGAGCAUUCGGGAAAGGGCUAA
rnacentral:lncRNA from 1 species